UGAUGCUCUGAUAGUCUAUUGAAAAGUCUAAUGCCAAAGUAGAAAUUGACGUGCAGUCCUGAGAAAAGAAAAGCAGAAAAGAGGCUUCGGAUUUAACAUUGUCAACAAUAAGGCCCUAGGAUUCCAAUUAGUUGAAUUUCUUUGUACAAAAUUAUUAACGAUAAGAUUCAAGAAAAUCUCUGUAUUUGAAAUACCAGAGGAAGUGUUACAUUUACCAUAUCUCCAGAAUUGCAACUUUGUAUUUGUAAUCUCGACAAUUUAUGUGCAACAUUUUGUUGAAAGAAUCCUCAGUA